UCUCUUUUUUUUUUUUUUUAUUUCAUCAAAUCAAAUUAAUUCACCUAAACCCUAUGGCCGACGAAGCCAAAGCCAAAGGCAACACAGCCUUCUCCUCCGGCGACUACCCCACCGCAAUUCACUACUUCUCCGACGCCAUCGCUUUGGCCCCCACCAACCACGUCCUGAAGAUGCGUACCUGUUUCGCUAUGGGAGGGGAUGGCCAUCGCAAUCACCACUUCACUGAAACUGUGGCUAUGGGAGGGAUUGGGCCAACCAUGGGGCUUGUGGACAUUGGAAAGUGUGAAGAGGGAUGAAGGAUGCCAAGCAUGCAAACAUUGAAAAUGUAUUGAUCUUGGCCGGAGAUAAUCUAUACCGAAUGGAUUGCAUGGACCUUGUGCAGAGUCACGUUGAAAAAAAUACAGAUAUUACAGUAUCAUGUGCUGCUGUAGGUGAAAGGCUACAUGACAUGCUAGGCGGGUGUAUGUUGGAGGCCUUCCUCCUACAGCUAAUGAGCAGUCAGUUGCAACUUUCUUUAGUCAAGUUAUGGCUAAGCUUGGGGGAACCACUGCUGGCCCAGAUACAUAAUAAACUUCAAGGAAUCAUGUUGCAGCCAGCCUUAUACCUUUGAAGUACUUUGGUGAAUGUGGUGAUCCCACGACCACCGCCUGAUGGUGAACUUGCCGCUGGAGUUGGAAAGCAAGUAGAUACUUGUGUGCUCGGGUUGCCACCCUAUGAAGCAAAAAGGUCACCAUAUAUUUUGCAUCUAUGGGGUUAUGUAUUCAAGACAGAUGAUUUAGUCAGGCUUCUGAAAUGGAGAUAUCCUACACCUAAUGACUUUGGAUCUGAAAUCAUUCCUGCAGCUGAGGGAAAACAAUGUCCAUGUAAGUGAAAUUGCACUAAACAUAUCUCCUUUCAAAUGUUUGAUCUAUUCUAGAAGUAGUCUUAUCUUACAUUUACAAGGAACUAAUUACUCCUUUAAUGAGGUAAUAAUACAAGUUGAAUGUCUAUUGCCCUCUUUCAA